rnacentral:lncRNA from 10 species
UCAGUUUUAUUGGAAAAUCUCAUAGAAGAAAAAAACAAAUAAUUAUUUCAAUAAAUGUCAAAAAGGCUCUUGAUGAAAUUCAACAUCAAGGUGCCCAAAACCUUGAUAAAAGGUGCCCAAAACCUACAGCAAAGGGCAUAUUUAACAAUAAAGCAUGAACAGAAAUGUCAUUUGCAUUCAUAAAACCCAGGAUUUGUUUUAAUCAGUAAUGGCAAGACACACAAACACAGAAAUGACUGUCAUGAGGGAAGUAGUUUAUUUUUCUACUCACAGUUCCCUAGAAGCUGUGGGCACAGCACACCACAAGCAGAAGGACAGGGAAACAUCAAGGUCAGUCAGGAGGCAGCGUCAAUGGGGGAAAACGUGGGAAAGAGGCUUUAUUGCAGUUCCAUGGGACGGGACAAGCAAGUCAGGUCAAUCAGGCUUAGCAUUGGCUAGUUUGAAUAAUUUCAUUGGCUCCUGGAAAGAAGAGGCUGCUAUCUGGCCCUGAAGAAAUUAGGGAAGUAGAAUAGUGGCCAGAAUUGUGAGAGUGAUAAGGAACAUUAAGACUGCAAAAGAGAUAAACAGAGAUAAAGAAGAAUAAAGAGUGAUGAAGAGAUGAGAAAGAAGGGGGUAUAAACUCUGGGUUGGUUGGGUUAUAGUAGGAAAGUCAUGCAUGCAGGCAAGUUGUUUAUUACAUCCAGCAAUUAGCUUAUCCUGAGAGGGGCAGUCCCUCCAGGGUCAACAAGGCCCAAAUGUCAAAGCAUCAAAUUUAGAAAAUAAGAGAUAUGACUAAUACACCGUUAAAGUCAGUAUUAUAAUUAAUAUUAUUCAACAUUAUCCAACAUUAUCCUGGAGUCUCUAGCCAAUGCAUACAACAGCAAAACCACUAAGAUAAACAAAUAUAUGAAUGGAAAAGACAGACUUUUAAAUUCUCAGGCGAUGUAUCUACUUAAAAUUUUAAAACAAAGUCAAACAAUCCAUUAAAAGCUAUUAAGUAUAGAAACUAAAAACUGUCCUGUGUACUAUAUAUCAGUGAAGCUCAUUUAUAAAAUGUAGUAUAAAAGGUGAGUCACAAGAGCAACAAGAACUAAAAUAUUUUUAGAAUUGCUAGAAAAUUUCAAAUCUAUAUAAGGAAAAUUGUAAAUAUUUAUUGCAGGUAUAAAAGAAAACAUCAGGAAAAAAAGAGGCACAGAUCAUCACUGCUCCACCUAAUUUCAAUAACCAUGAUUUAAUUAAAUAAGGGAGAAGCCCACAUGACAUUUUACAAAAAUGAAUAACCAAAGAGGGAAGUGGUCAACAAACAUGAAACUGCAAAAAAAAAAAAAAAAAAGAAAAAGAAAAGAAAAGAAAAAAGAAAAGGGAUAAUACAAAGUGAAAAUCAAAUGGAACAUAAAUGUAGUUAUAGAAGAAAUAGUGGCCAUUCACUGAGGCAGUUGUAUUCUUGGUAUUUCAAUUAUUUUUGACAAAUAAAUCAAUUCUGAAUCAGACUGAAGCUCUAUAUUUACAGAAAUACAGGAGGCACAGACACGUGUUGUGUUAGGUUGCUUUUCUGUUGCUAUAAAGAAAUACCUGAGACUGGGUCAUUUAUAAAGAAAAAAGGUUUAACUGGCUCACAGGUCUGCAGGCUUUACUGGAAGCAUGGUGCUGGCAUCUGCUCAGCUUUUGGGGAGGCCUCAGGAGGCUUCCAUUCAUGGGAAAAGGCAAAGUGGGAGCAGGCUUCUCACAUGGAGAGACUGGGAGCAAGAGAGCAAGCAGAGGAGGUGCCACACACUUUUAAACAACAGAUCUCCUGAGAACUCACUCAUUAUCAGUGGGACAGCACCAAGUUAUGAGGAAUCUGUCCCCAUGACCCAAACACCUCCCACAAGACCCCACCUCCAACAUUGGGGAUUACACCUCAACAUGAGUAUAUUAGUACGUUUUCACACUGCUAUAAAGAAACUACCUGAGACUGGAUAAUUUAUAAAGGAAGGUUUAAUUGACUCACAGUUAUGCAUGGCUCUGGAGGCCUCAGGAAACUUACAAUCAUCACAGAGGGUGAAGGAGAAGCAAAGCACAUCUUACAUGGCAGCAGGAGAGAGAGAGAGCAAAGAGGAAAUGCCAGACAAUUAUUAAACUACCAUAUGUCAUGAGAACUCUCUCACUAUCACAAGAACAGCAUGGGAAAACUGCUCCCAUGAUCCAAUCACCUCCCCACAAGUCCCUGCAUCCACACAUGGGGGUCAUAAUUCAAGAUGAGAUCUGGGUGGGGACAUAGAGCCAAACCAUAUCAAUGAGAUUUGGAGGGGACGUCCAAACUGUAUCACAGGUUCAAUAAAUAAUACCAUAGAAUGCAAUCAGAAAAAUGCAGAAUGCUGAAAUACCACAGGAUAAAUAAUCUGGUUUUUUCAAUCAUAACUAAAGGAACCAAUAGAUUGUAAGUGAAAAAAGGUGUAGGUGACAUAAGUAGGUGAUAAACUCAAAGAUAUCAAAGGAAGCUUAAGACAUAUUAUCAUCUAAUUUUAAUGUAUACUCCUUAUUCAGAUCCCAAUUAAAAUAACUAUAAGAGGCUGGGCACGGUGGGUCACACCUGUAAUCCCAGCACUUUGGGAGGUCGAGGAGGGUGGAUCAC